UGGUAUGCAAUGCCGCAUUAAACCUGCGUUUGUAGAGGGUGAUAUCCCGUACUGGUGGACGUGCGCUGCAGUCACUCGCAAGCCGGCAAAAUUCGCUUUGCCUUUAAUGAGCUCGCCUCUGGCCAGCUGCUUGUUAGAAACGGCUUUCAGCAGAGGCCCAUAAAGGUCCCCGUCACGCUGAGACUGUGGACUGACCUGGACCUCCUCAUAUUUCGCAUAUGACAGAAAAUACGGGCGUAAAGCAUUUUUAUGUCCUGUUUGCGUCAGAGAGAUUCCUGUCAAGUACCAUCUGAUAGCAGAGCACUUAUGGACCUCCGGAUGAGGUCUUCUGAUUCGGACCCCAGCGGAUUCUCAGAGCAGCAGGCUGUGGCUCUGUGGAACUCGUCACUGAUCCUGGACCAGUCUCCGCCCUGACACUGAGGCCCAGCAAAUGGCAUGAAGAUUUUGCGAGAGCGUUAUCACAGCAGCAAUACUCAAUCGUCGCCUCUAGGGGGAGUCAGAAAACAGCUACACCAGGUACCCACAUCAACAUCCCGAUGGCCUCCAACCAUCAAAGCAUCUGUUAACAAGUCACGUAGCUUUAAGUUUACCAUUCAUCAUUGACAUCCAUGGUAUCCAUUCAUCACUCACCAGUGUAUUUACUGAAACAAUUCGGAUACUUAGCUCAAGGGUACA